rnacentral:rRNA from 2 species
CUUACCUGGUCUUGACAUCCACAGAACUUAGCAGAGAUGCUUUGGUGCCUUCGGGAACUGUGAGACAGGUGCUGCAUGGCUGUCGUCAGCUCGUGUUGUGAAAUGUUGGGUUAAGUCCCGCAACGAGCGCAACCCUUAUCCUUUGUUGCCAGCGGUCCGGCCGGGAACUCAAAGGAGACUGCCAGUGAUAAACUGGAGGAAGGUGGGGAUGACGUCAAGUCAUCAUGGCCCUUACGACCAGGGCUACACACGUGCUACAAUGGCGCAUACAAAGAGAAGCGACCUCGCGAGAGCAAGCGGACCUCAUAAAGUGCGUCGUAGUCCGGAUUGGAGUCUGCAACUCGACUCCAUGAAGUCGGAAUCGCUAGUAAUCG